AUGGGCGCAGCUGAUGAGCAUGCCGCGUGAGUGAUGAGGCCUUCGGGUUGUAAAGCUCUUUUGUCAGGGACGAAAGGGUGGGGGCCUGUACCGUUCUCCCCUGACGGUACCUUUAGAAAGCGCCGGUAACUACGUGCCCGCAGCCGCGGUAAUACGUAGGGUGCAAGCGUUAAUCGGAAUUACUGGGCGUAAAGCGUGCGCAGGCGGUUUUGUAA
rnacentral:rRNA from 1 species